rnacentral:rRNA from 1 species
GCGAUUCGCCCUUCGGGGUGCAGCAGGCGCGAAAACUUUACAAUGCGGGAAACCGUGAUAAGGGGACACCGAGUGCCAGCAUCAUAUGCUGGCUGUCCAGGUGUGUAAAAUACACCUGUCAGCAAGGGCCGGGCAAGACCGGUGCCAGCCGCCGCGGUAACACCGGCGGCCCGAGUGGUGAUCGUGAUUAUUGGGUCUAAAGGGUCCGUAGCCGGUUUGGUCAGUCCUCCGGGAAAUCUGACGGCUCAACCGUUAGGCUUUCGGGGGAUACUGCCAGGCGUGGAACCGGGAGAGGUAAGAGGUACUACAGGGGUAGGAGUGAAAUCUUGUAAUCCCUGUGGGACCACCUGUGGCGAAGGCGUCUUACCAGAACGGGUUCGACGGUGAGGGACGAAAGCUGGGGGCACGAACCGGAUUAGAUACCCGGGUAGUCCCAGCCGUAAACGAUGCUCGCUAGGUGUCAGGCAUGGCGCGACCGUGUCUGGUGCCGCAGGGAAGCCGUGAAGCGAGCCACCUGGGAAGUACGGCCGCAAGGCUGAAACUUAAAGGAAUUGGCGGGGGAGCAC